UGAGCAGCAGAGGAUCGUGGGAACAAUACAGAGACCAGUGCGAGUGGGCGUCUUGUCUGCGCUGCAGCAGUCUGACAUGUGUUUGGUCUGCAUCGCAUUUGCCUCCUGGGUACUGGCAUCAUCAGAUCCAGAGUCUGCUGAUGCCUGGAAAGCAGCUGUGCUUGCAAACGUGAGCGCGCUAUCAGCAAUCCAGUACCUGCGACAGACCAAGUGAUGAUGAAGAAUCCUCAGCAUGGCAAUACGUUAUGUAAUUACAGUCAUGUCAUUUCCAGUCAGUUACACACGGGUCCAUCCAUAAAAAAUGUAUUUAUUCCACUUAAUGUUCAAUAAAAAUAGCGUGACAGCAUUUCAAGGUUAACAGCAUUUUGAAACUAGACACCAAAAAUCUUAUUAUGAUGUUGGCAAUUUAAAGAAUUAUGACCAGUUCCAAAGUUUGAAUUAUGAUUGGCUGGGUAUGUGAAAAAAAACGAGGGUGAAUAUAUAUAUUUUUUGUGUGUCGUUUCAUGUGACGAAAGCAAGUUUAGUCUGCAAUUUGCACAAUACUUCCCAUUAGCCAAGUAAGCCGUUCAUAAUACCUGGACCAUUACUGAGGAGCUGUAGACACGCUUAGCGAUGGCAGCAGAUUGUAGCUUUCAUGACAAGCAGGGUCGCUCAGUCGAAAACGGAUUGAAUGAUGGAAGCCUGAAAGUCUGAAAGAUACUGUAAACAAAAGAGUAUAUUUUUGAAAAAUAAAAUGAAACAAAUGUGAA